rnacentral:sRNA from 1 species
AACAGCAUGAAAGGAGGUGAUCCGGUGUCUCAUCGCAUCAACCAGGUCCUCGCGGCCGCCACUCGGAUCACCGUCGGCGCCUAAGCCCCGGCGGGUCACCGUUUGACGCGGGCCGCGAACCGGCCACGCGAUGGGAAGGCCCCGGCGGGCAACUGCCGGGGCCU